rnacentral:rRNA from 1 species
UACAUGUGGGGCAAGCGUUGUUCGGAAUUACUGGGCAUAAAGGGUGCGUAGGUGGUUUGCUAAGUCAGGGGUGAAAUCCCGCGGCCCAACCGUGGAACUGCCUUUGAUACUGGCGAACUUGAGUGCGUGAGGGGUAACCGGAACGAGCAGUGUAGCGGUGAAAUGCGUAGAUAUUGCUCGGAAGGCCAGAGGCGAGGGCGGGUUACUGGUACGCAACUGACACUGAGGCACGAAAGCGUGGGGAGCAAACAGG